AGUACUAAAUCAGGAUCAGGACAACCAUUUGAACUGAGUAAACUAACAUAUCUACAUCCACAUCUGUGGGUCUCCUUUGCUUCUGGGCUACUCACUGGCAAAAGUCCUGAGCGGCUCUCACAAUAUCUGCUUUUCCAUCUUCCGGCAAUAGCACCUUCACUGCCAAAUGGCAAUUUAAAACUUGAUCAUCUUUGUCAUUACUAUUUGCAAACUCUGGUGAGCAUUUUGAACAAUCUAGGCCCAGAAGUUCUUGCUGUUGUUUUAAAAUUCCAUCCAUCAAUCUGGAAUUAUUUCUUUUGAAAAUACCUUGGUGGUCGUAGACGCUAAUGUAGGAGAUGCCCACGGCCAUACACCACACCACGAGGCUCUCGAUGUCCGAGAAGCUGGGUUCCUGCUCCACCUCGGUGAUCACCAGGCCCAUGUGCACAGGCAGCUUCUCCAGGGAAGGGCCGUCCGCGCGCCAGCGCACCUGGUGGUGGGCUGCGGGCAGGCACGACCCCCGGCGCGGGUGCGGGUGGUGAUGGCGGUUCCUGCAGACGCCUGGGACUUGCGGAGCGUGAAGCCGAGCGGCGCUAGGACCGCGGCAGAGGCGGCGCGCCGGCACAGUCGCCAGAUCCAGUUCCAAGUGCCGAACCGAACGCGGAGCCAGGAGCUACAGGAAUUUAGCCAAUUCAGAGGAAAUCUUCCCCAUAAUUAUGGAACUUUCUUACAGAUUUUACCAAGUCUGGUCAACCCAAUAAGAAAAAGACUGAAAUAACAACAACAACUUCAACAAAUAAAAAAAAACAGUUAAGCUAAAUAAACAGAUGAUUGCAGAAUUUAUGUGAUUACUGGGUACUCUAAUGGUAAGGAGAAAUUAAGACCAGCUAGUUGUUAAUCUUAACUUUUAGUCAUUAAGGAGAAUUUCCAAGACAAAACUGCAAUCCAGCUGCUUACCUAGGAAUACGGCUUAGGCUGAAAACUUCUAUCGUCUUAGAAAUGGGAAUAAACCUCACACUCACCGUCCCUGUUGGAAGCAAGCUGAAACUCCAAAAAAAAAGUUGCCUGUUGUCCAUCAUCAUGGUGAAGCGGCGUCGUUGUCUGGGAACCCAAUUGGAGACGUUGGAUAUUUUAUCAAGUCUUUGACUGGAAUGACAUUUUUUCAGAAAUAACCAGACUGCUUUGAGGA